UGCACACAAGUAGGAGGCAAAGACCUGACCUGAAGGAGGUCCCGGUCUCAUUCAGGGCACAAAGUGAGAUGGGCUAUGUGAUGUCCUUCUGGAUGAGAAAUGACAUUCCCUGGGGAUUAGCUGCACACGGGGCUGGAGGCUCCAUUCCAGUUUUUCAACUGGUCUCCCUCAGGAGGGAACUCGGUGUCUUCUGGCUACCACAGCUGUCCAGGUUAUUCUGGAAACCCACCUCAAGAGGCGAGGGAGAGGCCUAGGAGAAGUCCUGCGCUCCAGAAAUCUUCACUCAGAAGCUGCUGCUGUUUCUGUGUGUCUGGCUGUGGGCACAGAGACUUAGGAGAGGCAGAUGACGGGCAGGGCUCCCUGGUCAGACCCUGGCGGGAGACGGGUGCCUGUGGGACUGCCAGCCUCUCAGGAGUGGGCUGUGAGCUGGGUGGAGGUGAGGGGUCCCGGGGCUAGGCUAAGGAGGAGAGGCCAUCCCACAGGGCCAAGGGUAGACCCACAGUCCCCGCUCACGUGCCCAGGGCCAUCUGAGUGAUUCUGGAAAUAAGACAGACAUGGGCUCAA